GGCGCACGGGUGAGUAACGCGUUUGUAAUCUACCUCUAACUGGGGCAUAGCCCGAAGAAAUUCGGAUUAAUACCCCAUAACAUCAUAAAAGGGCAUCCUUUAAUGAUUAAAGCUCCGGCGGUUAGAGAUGAGCAUGCGUGUCAUUAGCUAGUUGGUGAGGUAACGGCUCACCAAGGCGACGAUGACUAGGGGGUCUGAGAGGAUGAUCCCCCACACUGGUACUGAGACACGGACCAGACUCC
rnacentral:rRNA from 1 species